AUACGUAGGUGACAAGCGUUAUCCGGAUUUACUGGGCGUAAAGGGCGUGUAGGCGGUCUUGCAAGUCAGAAGUGAAAUUCCUGAGCUCAACUCGGGCGCUGCUUCUGAAACUGCAGGACUUGAGUGCUGGAGGGGAUAGCGGAAUUCCUCGUGGAGCGGUAAAAUGCGCAGAUAUUAGGAAGAACACCGGUGGCGAAGGCGGCUAUCUGGACAGUAACUGACGCUGAGGCGCGAAAGCGUGGGGAACAAACAGGAUUUGAUUCCCUGGUAGUCCACGCCGUAAACGAUGAAUACUAGGUGUAGGGGGUAUCGACUCCCUCUGUGCCGCAGUUAACACAAUAAGUAUUCCGCCUGGGGAGUACGGCCGCAAGGUUGAAACUUAAAGGAAUUGGCGGGG
rnacentral:rRNA from 1 species